rnacentral:rRNA from 1 species
AGCGAACGCUGGCGGCAGGCCUAACACAUGCAAGUCGAACGAACUCUUCGGAGUUAGUGGCGGACGGGUGAGUAACACGUGGGAACGUGCCUUUAGGUUCGGAAUAACUCAGGGAAACUUGUGCUAAUACCGAAUGUGCCCUUCGGGGGAAAGAUUUAUCGCCUUUAGAGCGGCCCGCGUCUGAUUAGCUAGUUGGUGAGGUAAAGGCGCACCAAGGCGACGAUCAGUAGCUGGUCUGAGAGGAUGAUCCGCCACAUUGGGACUGAGACACGGCCCAAACUCCUACGGGAGGCAGCAGUGGGGAAUCUUGCGGAAUGGGCGAAAGCCUGACGCAGCCAUGCCGCGUGAAUGAUGAAGGUCUUAGGAUUGUAAAAUUCUUUCACCGGGGACGAUAAUGACGGUACCCGGAGAAGAAGCCCCGGCUAACUUCGUGCCAGCCGCCGCCGUAA